rnacentral:lncRNA from 1 species
GGUCUCAGCAAUGGAAGGGGCCCCUCCUGGCAGAAGUGUGAGUGGAACCCGGGGUUGGUGAGUUGAGAGGGGCACACAGCAGAGGAGGGAAAGGAGACACCUGCAUGCACACGUGUGCACACACACACACACACACACUCAGACACACUCCAGACCGCCUGGACCGCCUGGACCGGCUAUGGAGACGCGGGGGGCACGGCACCCCACUGGUCAGGAGGCAGCUUCUCUCAUCUGAACAGUCCCAGGGGAUGGGAGGGCAGGUGGGUUGUGCACUCAGCAGCGAUGUCCUUGGCCCCAAAGCGCCCUGCCUGGGGAAGAUGAGGGCCCUGUGUCUAGACCAGCAGCAGGCCAAGGUGGGGUGGCCCUCCCUCAGCAAAAUCUGAUCACCUCAGAGCUUCCUGCCCUUGUCCUGGACAGUGAGGUGACAGGGUUCUCAGGAGGAGAAGUGAAGGGACCCUUUCCAUGGGAGAGAUGGGAGGGGAACUGGCCAGGUGAGAAGGGACGGUCUCUUCUAUCCAGCUACACCUGUCCUCUUCCCAUCUGUGUGGCCACAGCAGACCCAACCCUUGUUCUCAGCCACUUUGGAACUUCGCAGAGAUGUGUAGUGAGUACUGGCCCUCGGUCUCCAUCCUUGUCCAGUCAGCAACUAGGUGGACAUUGCUGUGAUCUUGUUCCCAGCUUGUCCACUCAGGGUACUUGGUAAAACAAUAAAAUUAAAUAAAGAAUAUAGGCUGGGCAUGGUGGACAGACACACCUAUAACCCAACUACUUGGGAAGAUCACAACUUCAAAGCCAGCCUGCCUUAGUAAGGGCUGGGGACAUAGUUCAUUGGUAGAGCACUCCUGGGUUUAAUCCUCAGUACUGCAAAAAAUAAAUGAUAAUAAUAAUGACUUAAUAAUAUGCCAUGAUGAUGACAUCAUUCUAAACCUACUUUAGCUUAUUAC